rnacentral:misc_RNA from 1 species
GAUGAAGAAACGUAGUGAAAUGCGAUAACUAGUGUGAAUUGCAGAAUUCCGUGAAUCAUCGAGUCUUUGAACGCACAUUGCGCCCCCUGGUAUUCCGGGGGGCAUGCCUGUCCGAGCGUCAUUGCUGCCCAUCAAGCACGGCUUGUGUGUUGGGUCGUCGUCCCCUCUCCGGGGGGGACGGGCCCCAAAGGCAGCGGCGGCACCGCGUCCGAUCCUCGAGCGUAUGGGGCUUUGUCACCCGCUCUGUAGGCCCGGCCGGCGCUUGCCGAACGCAAAUCAAUCUUUUUCCAGGUUGACCUCGGAUCAGGUAGGGAUACCCGCUGAACUUAAGCAUAUCAAUAAGCGGAGGA